rnacentral:rRNA from 1 species
UACGGGGGGGGCAAGCGUUGUUCGGAAUUACUGGGCGUAAAGGGCGCGUAGGCGGGAUGGCAAGUCGGUCGUGAAAUCCCUCGGCUCAACCGAGGAACGUCGAUCGAUACUGCUGUUCUUGAGGAUUGCAGAGGAGACUGGAAUUCCCGGUGUAGCGGUGAAAUGCGUAGAUAUUGGGAGGAACACCAGUGGCGAAGGCGGCUCACUGGACCGGAACUGACGCUGAGGCGCGAAAGCGUGGGGAGCAAACAGG